AGUUUUAUAUUCAUGAAUGAUAAUAGAAUGCAAUUCUAUAGGAAUAACAAAGAGUUAUUAAGACUU
rnacentral:tRNA from 1 species